rnacentral:lncRNA from 1 species
UUGAAGCUUGCUCCUCAGGAUAGACAGUUAUCUAAAUGCUAAAUAAGAAACUUAUUGUACUUUUCAUGGCAUGCUAAUCUUUUGUCUAUUUCAUCUCCAUUAUUUGUACUCUUAUAGAUUUCAGUUGUUGUGGCGGUGAUUAUAUCAAGCCCGGACGGCGCAUAGCAGCAAGAAAUCACCUCUGAAUACUUAACAGAGCUCCGCACAAAAGAGCACACGGCAUGCCAAUUAAGCACUCUCGGUCCGGAGCCUUUAGGAGUGGACAGUGGUUCAAUAUUGUCCUGCAGGGGCAGGCCAUAGCUUCUUUAUGUUGUCUGGCUUAAAACUAUUAGUCACCCAAACCUUCACCAAUACAUCACUUUAUACUAAUAAUUUAAUUUCCUUCAGCCGUCGCAUUUAUAACAGCCUUUGCCUGGAGACGGGAUCGCCAUUUUUUUAAUUGAGUUAGGCCCAGUCGGCGAGUGGUGCCCUUUUGUAGUCAUGUCUUAAUAAGUUUUAGAUGUGUCACAUCAAGCGCACGCCAGGAGGCAGAUAGGAAGUGCGAUUUUUUUAACACUUUGCGGGGCUGUCUCCGUGCAAUCUGGGUUCCAGGAACACAACAUUUGCGAUAUAAAGGAGACAAAAAAGGGACGUUUUGCGUCCAGGGUACAGCAAAUGCGUGUGUGGUAAAACGCGUUGACUGAAAUAUGCUUUCUUAAAUUUGUAUCCCAUUCCUAAAAGACUGGACAGCCCACAUCUGUACAGGAGCAGUACUCUGGCUUCUCUGCACAGUGAGGUGGCAGAUUUCUCGGGAAGGCAGGCCUUUUGAGGCUGCUGUGUUUUAAUGUUAAAACGCGGCGAGGACGGGCAAGGGAAACUGUAAUAACUUUGAAGACACGAAAACGGUGUUUUCUUAACGCUCGACUAUAUUGUGGCGGCCAAGCUCCGUUCGCGCUGUGCAUCGCCCUCUCUCCACAGUCCCGCAGAAGUUCCACUCAAAAAGCGAUGAUCGCAAGUGAUCGUGAGAAGGAGAUACAACCUGGGAAAUCCGCAAUAAAACAAACUGCGUUCUCAAAAGGUAUGUGUGACUUUGUACUCUUGCGUCUGCCUGUUAGCUGCACAUUGACUGCCUUUUAAUCUGUCAGUUACUGCCUUUCUGUUUUGUCAUCUGCUCUAUAUAUUCACUUGUCGCCUGACACUUUUUCAACUCCGGUAUACAGUUGGGUCGCAAUUAAAUAUAUCAACAAAGCAAAAGGUAUCAGCAAA